rnacentral:rRNA from 1 species
UACGUACGGUGCAAGCGUUGUCCGGAAUUAUUGGGCGUAAAGAGCUCGUAGGCGGUCUGUCGCGUCGGCUGUGAAAUCCCGGAGCUCAACUCCGGGUCUGCAGUCGAUACGGGCAAACUGGAGUACUGCAGGGGAGACUGGAAUUCCUGGUGUAGCGGUGAAAUGCGCAGAUAUCAGGAGGAACACCGGUGGCGAAGGCGGGUCUCUGGGACGGUACUGACGCUGAGACGCGAAAGCGUGGGGAGCGAACAGG